rnacentral:rRNA from 1 species
CAGAGACUGCAAGCGUUACUCGGAUUCACUGGGCGUAAAGGGAGCGCAGGCGGACCGAUGUGUCGGAUGUGAAACCCCAGGGCUCAACCCUGGGACUGCGUCCGAAACUGUCGGUCUAGGGACUCGGAGGGGCUAGUGGAAUUCCUGGUGGAGCAGUGAAAUGCGUAGAUAUCAGGAGGAACACCAACGGCGAAGGCAGCUAGCUGGACGAGAUCCGACGCUCAGGCUCGAAAGUAUGGGGAGCAAAAAGGAUUAGAUACCCUUGUAGUCCAUACUGUAAACGUUGUUGAUUAGGUCUUGGAGCAUUCGAACGCUCCAGGGCUCAAGCUAACGCAAUAAAUCAACCGCCUGAGGACUACGGCCGCAAGGCUA